AUGACAUGAAAAGAUUUUGCAUCUGUCAUGAAUGAGUAAUCAACUGAUCCAGUUGGAGGUGGAGGAAGGGAGAUCAAACUGGUUCUCUUCUGAUGUGAUUGAGAUCGAACUCAGGACCUUGAGGUUGUGAGGCAGGAGGUGGUACCACUGAGCUAAAUCCCUGGCCUUAAAAUAUCACUUUUGAUGACCAUGUUGCCUAUGAACUACGAGAUCAGAUGAAGAGGAGAUUGGUUAUAAGACAGAUUUCUGGGAG
rnacentral:lncRNA from 1 species